rnacentral:rRNA from 1 species
UUUGAGAGUUUGAUCCUGGCUCAGGAUGAACGCUGGCGACGUGGAUAAGGCAUGCAAGUCGAGUGGGUUUAGACCCACGGCAAACGGGUUAGUAAUACAUAGGAACGUACCCCUAAGUCGUGAAUAACUUGGAGAAAUCCAGGAUAAUACACGAUAAUCUCUACGGAGUAAUGUCCCGACGCAAGUCGGGACGCUUAGGGAGCGGCCUGUGUCCUAUCAGCUAGUUGGUGAGGUAAUGGCUCACCAAGGCUAUGACGGGUAGGGGGCGUGAGAGCGUGAUCCCCAACAUUGGAACUGAGACACUGUCCAAACACCUACGGGUGGCUGCAGUCGAGAAUAUUGCGUGCGGGAUGAAGGCCCUUGGGUCGUAAACCGCUUUUCUAAAGGAAGAAAUUGUUUAAGGCGGAAUUCCUCUUUUUCGGGAAUGACUGACACAAAAUAAUAGUGAGGCACGAUUUGACGGUACUUUAGGAAUAAGAGGUUGCUAACUCUGUGCCAGCAGCAGCGGUAAUACAGAGACCUCAAGCGUUAUCCGGAUUUAUUGGGCGUAAAGAGCAUGUAGGCGGAUAUGGAAACUGCAUUUGAAACGGUAUAUCUAGAGGAAGUGAGAGAUCGAUGGAACGUAUGGUGUAGCAGUGAAAUGCGUUGAUAUCAUACGGAACACCAAAGGCGAAGGCAUUCGAUUGGCACUUUUCUGACGCUGAGAUGCGAAAGCGUGGGUAGCGAAUGGGAUUAGAUACCCCAGUAGUCCACGCCGUAAACGAUGCAUACUUGGUAUUAGGAGAAUCGACCCUCCUAGUGUCGUAGCUAACGCGUUAAGUAUGCCGCCUGGGAAGUACGAGCGCAAGCUUAAAACUCAAAGGAAUAGACGGGGAUCCGCACAA